rnacentral:rRNA from 1 species
CCAGCAGCCGCGGUAAUACGUAGGUGGCGAGCGUUGUCCGGAAUUAUUGGCGUAAAGGGAGCGCAGGCGGGAAGGCAAGUCAGUCUUAAAAGUGCGGGGCUCAACCCCGGAUGGGAUUGAAACUGUCUUUCUUGAGUGCAGGAGAGGAAAGCGGAAUUCCUAGUGUAGGGUGAAAUGCGUAGAUAUUAGGAGGAACACCAGUGGCGAAGGCGGCUUUCUGGACUGUACUGACGCUGAGGCUCGAAAGCGUGGGGAGCGAACAGGAUUAGAUACCCUGGUAGUCCACCCGUAAACGAUGAAUGCUAGGUGUAGGAGGUAUCGACCCCUUCUGUGCCGGAGUUAACGAAUAAGCAUUCCGCCUGGGGAGUACGGUCGCAAGACUGAAACUCAAAGGAAUUGACGGGGCCCGCACAAGCGGUGGAGUAUGUGGUUUAAUUCGACGCAACGCGAAGAACCUUACCAGGCUUGACAUUGAGUGAAAGGCUAAGAGAUUAGUCCCUCCCUUCGGGGACACGAAAACAGUGGUGCAUGGCUGUCGUCAGCUCGUGUCGUGAGAUGUUGGGUUAAGUCCCGCAACGAGCCAACCCCUAUCAUUUGUUGCCAGCACGUAACGGUGGGAACUCAAAUGAGACUGCCGCGGCAACGCGGAGGAAGGCGGGGAUGACGUCAAGUCAUCAUGCCCCUUAUGUCCUGGGCUACCACGUACUACAAUGGGAUGGACAGAGAGCAGCGACCCCGCGAGGGCAAGCGAACCCCAUAACCAUCUCCCAGUUCGGAUUGCAGGCUGCAACCCGCCUGCAUGAAGUCGGAAUCGCUAUAAUCGCUGGUCAGCAUACAGCGGUGAAUACGUUCCCGGGCCUUGCACACACCGCCCGU